GGAGAGUUACCCAAGUCUGGUUGAAGGGACACGAUUUCGGUUGUGAGGUCAGCAAUGACGCAGAGGUUCAAAUCCUUUACUCUCCU
rfam:Lactobacillus rossiae DSM 15814 Scaffold9, whole genome shotgun sequence.